rnacentral:lncRNA from 1 species
CGGCCGAGGUCGUUAUGAUUAUUAUUAUCCCUGCUUUACAGGGUAGAGAGGUCACUUGUAUGUGAUGUCAGCACCUCUGCUGUCCUUCCUAAUGUCUUGCUCCUUGGACUUGUGGACUCACAUGGAUCUUGGAUUAUCGGAAUGACAGGCCAAGAAGGUAGGAUGUGGGACGUUAUCUUGGACAGCUUCCAGUAGUUCCACUUGUUUACACACUCUUUCUUUUUGU